UACAGAGGUCUCAAGCGUUGUUCGGAUUCAUUGGGCGUAAAGGGUGCGUAGGUGGCGCCGUAAGUCAGGUGUGAAAUCCCGGGGCUCAACCCCGGAACUGCACUUGAUACUGCGGUGCUCGAGUACUGGAGAGGAGAUUGGAAUUUACGGUGUAGCGGUGAAAUGCGUAGAUAUCGUAAGGAAGACCAGUGGCGAAGGCGGGUCUCUGGACAGCUCCUGACGCUGAGGCACGAAGGCCAGGGGAGCAAACGGG
rnacentral:rRNA from 1 species